CAGAAGUGCCGCGGACCACAGAACACCCAGCUGAGAGCCAGAGCCUCUUCUCACCCUGCAGGGGACAGCUGACAGCAUGCCGCUGGCCUGUGUGCUGUGGGCAGUCGUGGUGUCCACCUGUCUUGGAUCCAGCAUGGCCCAGAAGGUCACCCAGACUCAACCAGAAAUGUCUGUGUACGAGGCAGAGACCGUGACCCUGGACUGCACGUUUGACACUCGUAAGGCAGACAAAUCCUUCAGUCUCAGGAUCUCAGCCGCCCAGCUGGAGGAUGCUGCGAUGUAUUUGUGUGCUCUCAUGGAGGGCACAGUGACAGGAGCAACAGAGGGAAGUUUACAGAAACCUCAGACCUCAGCAUCUGUGCAGAGGUCGGGGGAAGGGGGAGGGUGAGUGGUUGGGGUACCAGGAGCAU